rnacentral:sRNA from 1 species
AAUCGGGUACUCCUGCCUGAUGAGGUCC